rnacentral:rRNA from 1 species
AAGCCUGUUUUAAGAUGAGGUUUCUGUUGAGGUUCCCUACAGACUAUAGGGUUGAUAGGCCAGACCUGUACGCAUUGUAAGAUGUUAAGGCUACUGGUACUAAUACACCAACAAACAAACACAA